rnacentral:rRNA from 1 species
AUUGAACGCUGGCGGCAUGCCUUACACAUGCAAGUCGAACGGCAGCAUGAUCUAGCUUGCUAGAUUGAUGGCGAGUGGCGAACGGGUGAGUAAUACAUCGGAACGUGCCCUGUAGUGGGGGAUAACUAGUCGAAAGAUUAGCUAAUACCGCAUACGACCUAAGGGUGAAAGUGGGGGACCGCAAGGCCUCAUGCUAUAGGAGCGGCCGAUGUCUGAUUAGCUAGUUGGUGGGGUAAAGGCCCACCAAGGCGACGAUCAGUAGCUGGUCUGAGAGGACGGUCAGCCACACUGGGACUGAGACACGGCCCAGACUCCUACGGGAGGCAGCAGUGGGGAUUUUUGUUUUAUGGGCGAAAGCCUGAUCCAGCAAUGUCUCGUGUGUGAAAGAAGGCCCCUCGGGUUGUAAAGCCCUUUUGUCCGGAAAAAAAACGGCUCUGGUUAAUACCUGGGGUCGAUGACGUACCCGAAACAUAAUGAUGGACUAAAUACGUGCAAACACCUCCGGUGUUAGGGGUGGGGUCG